rnacentral:rRNA from 1 species
GGGGAAUAUUGGACAAUGGGCGAAAGCCUGAUCCAGCAAUACCGCGUGUGUGAAGAAGGCCUGAGGGUUGUAAAGCACUUUCAAUAGGAAGGAAUACCUAUCGGUUAAUACCCGAUAGACUGACAUUACCUAUACAAGAAGCACCGGCUAACUCCGUGCCAGCAGCCGCGGUAAUACGGAGGGUGCAAGCGUUAAUCGGAAUUACUGGGCGUAAAGCGUGCGUAGGCGGUUUUUUAAGUCAGAUGUGAAAGCCCUGGGCUUAACCUGGGAACUGCAUUUGAUACUGGAAGACUAGAGUUGAGUAGAGGAGAGUGGAAUUUCAGGUGUAGCGGUGAAAUGCGUAGAGAUCUGAAGGAACACCAGUGGCGAAGGCGGCUCUCUGGACUCAAACUGACGCUGAGGUACGAAAGCGUGGGUAGCAAAC